GACGUAGGGCGCGAGCGUUGUCCGGAUUUAUUGGGCGUAAAGAGCUCGUAGGCGGCUUGUCGCGUCGACCGUGAAAACUUGGGGCUCAACCCCAAGCCUGCGGUCGAUACGGGCAGGCUAGAGUUCGGUAGGGGAGACUGGAAUUCCUGGUGUAGCGGUGAAAUGCGCAGAUAUCAGGAGGAACACCGGUGGCGAAGGCGGCUAUCUGGACGAGUACUGACACUGAGACGCGAAAGCAUGGGGAGCAAACAGG
rnacentral:rRNA from 1 species